rnacentral:rRNA from 1 species
GAUAACCGUAGUAAUUCUAGAGCUAAUACAUGCUGUAAAAACCUGACUUUUCGGAAAGGUUGUAUUUAUUAGAUAUCAAACCAAUAAUCUUUCGGGAUUAUUGUGAUGAUUCAUAAUAACUGAUCGGAUCAAGGUGUACCUUGAUAGAUCAUUCAAGUUUCUGCCCUAUCAGCUUUCGAUGGUAGUGUAUUGGACUACCAUGGCAGUCACGGGUAACGGAGAAUUAGGGUUCGAUUCCGGAGAGGGGAGCCUUGAGAAACGGCUACCACAUCUACGGAAGGCAGCAGGCGCGUAAAUUACCCAAUCCUGAUUCAGGGAGGUAGUGACAAGAAAUAACAACUCGGGGCCUCACGGCUUACGAGAUUGCAAUGAGAACAAUUUAAAUCUCUUAGCGAGGAACAAUUAGGAGGCAAGUCUGGUGCCAGCAG